rnacentral:rRNA from 1 species
ACAAAGUCUGACGGAGCACGCCGCGUGAGUGAUGAAGGUUUUCGGAUCGUAAAACUCUGUUAUUAGGGAAGAANAANUGUGUAAGUAACUG